rnacentral:rRNA from 1 species
UUUAGAGGAAGUAAAAGUCGUAACAAGGUUUCCGUAGGUGAACCUGCGGAAGGAUCAUUAGUGAAUCCUCAAAGUCGGCUCGUCCUACUGUGCUGGUGGAGACACAUGUGCACGUUGCGAGUCGCAAAUCCCACACACCUGUGAAUCUAUGACUCUGAGUCUGCCGCUUUGCAUGGCCUUGAUCGGCCUGGCGACUCGAGUACUUUUACACACUCUUGAAUGUAAUGGAAUGUCUAUUGUGCAUAAUGUACAAAUGAAACAACUUUCAACAACGGAUCUCUUGGCUCUCGCAUCGAUGAAGAACGCAGCGAAAUGCGAUAAGUAAUGUGAAUUGCAGAAUUCAGUGAAUCAUCGAAUCUUUGAACGCACCUUGCACCCUUUGGUAUUCCGAAGGGUACACCCGUUUGAGUGUCAUUGUAAUCUCACUACAUUCGACUUUGUGUCGCUUGUAUGUGGACUUGGAUGUUGCCGUGGAUUUCCACGGCUCGUCUGAAAUGCCUGAGUGUACCCCAUUUUGCGGCGUAUUCGGUGUGAUACAUCUUCACCGGAGUUGAUCCUUUCGGGUCGCGUCAGUAUGAGUGUGGCUCUAUGCUUCCAACCGUCCCUUUAUAAGGACAAUCUCUUGACAAUUUGACCUCAAAUCGGGUGGGACUACCCGCUGAACUUAAGCAUAUCAAUAAGCGGAGGAAAAGAAACUAACAAGGAUUCCCUAGUAACGGCGAGUGAAGAGGGAAAAGCUCAAAUUUCGAAUCUGGUGUCUUUGACUCCCGAGUUGUAAUCUAGAGAAGUGUUUUCCGUGUCGGACCGUGCACAAGUUCCCUGGAACGGGGCGUCAUAGAGGGUGAGAAUCCCGUAUAUGGCACGGACUGCCGAUGCUCUGUGAUACACUCUCAACGAGUCGAGUUGUUUGGGAAUGCAGCUCAAAAUGGGUGGUAAAUUCCAUCUAAAGCUAAAUAUUGGCGAGAGACCGAUAGCGAACAAGUACCGUGAGGGAAAGAUGAAAAGCACUUUGGAAAGAGAGUGAAACAGUACGUGAAAUUGUUGAAAGGGAAGCGUUUGAAGUCAGUCAUGUCUGGCGGGAUUCAACUUGGGCUUCUGCCCGGUGUACUUUCCGUCCGAUGGGUCAGCAUCAAUUUCGACCGAGGGAAAAAGAUGUGGGGAAUGUGGCUGUCUUCGGGCAGUGUUAUAGCCCCGCAUUGUAUGCCUCGGUUGGGAUUGAGGAACGCAGCGCGCCUAUAGGCCAGGGGCUACCCGCCUCUUG